rfam:Brachypodium distachyon strain Bd21 chromosome 3, whole genome shotgun sequence.
GUUCUACUUUCUCCGUUUAACAAAAGAUGUCUCAUCUUUUAGUAAAUUUGAAUGUAUCUAUACACUAAGUCAUGUCUAGAUUUUAGAUACAUUCAAAAUUUGACAAAUUUAAGACAUUUUUUAUUGGACGGAGGGAGCAGUUG